rnacentral:rRNA from 1 species
GGCGGCGUGCCUAACACAUGCAAGUCGAACGAGAAAGGGUAGCAAUACCUGAGUAAAGUGGCGCACGGGUGAGUAACACGUGACUAACCUACCCUGGAGUGGGGGAUAACUGAGGGAAACCUUAGCUAAUACCGCAUAACACCUACGGGUCAAAGGAGCAAUUCGCUUUGGGAGGGGGUCGCGGCCGAUUAGUUAGUUGGCGGGGUAAUGGCCCACCAAGACAGUGAUCGGUAUCCGGCCUGAGAGGGCGCACGGACACACUGGAACUGAAACACGGUCCAGACUCCUACGGGAGGCAGCAGUGGGGAAUUUUGCGCAAUGGGGGAAACCCUGACGCAGCAACGCCGCGUGGAGGAUGAAGUACUUCGGUACGUAAACUCCUUUCGAUCGGGACGAUAAUGACGGUACCGGAAGAAGAAGCCCCGGCUAACUUCGUGCCAGCAGCCGCGGUAAUACGAAGGGGGCAAGCGUUGUUCGGAAUUAUUGGGCGUAAAGGGUGCGUANGCGGUUUGGUAAGUCUUAUGUGAAAUCUCCGGGCUCAACUCGGANUCUGCAUGGGAAACUGCCGGGCUUGA